CCUACGGGAGGCAGCAGCAGGGAAUCUUGCGCAAUGGGCGAAAGCCUGACGCAGCGACACCGCGUGGGGGAUGAAGGCCUUCGGGUUGUAAACCCCUUUCAGGAGGGAUGAAAUUGACAGUACCUCCACAAGAAGGACCGGCCAACUACGUGCCAGCAGCCGCGGUAAUACGUAGGGUCCGAGCGUUAUCCGGAAUCAUUGGGCGUAAAGAGCUCGUAGGCGGUUCAGCAAGUCGGCUGUGAAAGUUCGAGGCUCAACCUCGAAAUUGCAGUCGAUACUGCUGUGACUCGAGUCCGGUAGAGGAGAAUGGAAUUCCCGGUGUAGCGGUGAAAUGCGCAGAUAUCGGGAGGAACACCAGUAGCGAAGGCGGUUCUCUGGGCCGGCACUGACGCUGAGGAGCGAAAGCGUGGGGAGCAAACAGGAUUAGAUACCCUGGUAGUCCACGCCGUAAACGUUGGAUACUAGGUGUGGCGUCCCGAUUAACGGUCGCCGUGCCGAAGCUAACGCAUUAAGUAUCCCGCCUGGGGAGUACGGCCGCAAGGCUAAAACUCAAAGGAAUGACGGAAUCGUCGACNGGCNGGGAA
rnacentral:rRNA from 1 species